GUCGAUCCCUCUUAAUUGGCAUUCAGUGCAUCCAGUUUUCAGCUCCUUUGGUGGACUCUCUUGCGAAUGUGUCUGUUUUAACGCUCCUCUUUUUGCUCCUCUUUUUGUGAGAUGCCGUGGAGAGGCCAACGGGACACAUACGAGCAUCAUCUAGUGAGGGUCAUCCCUGAGCAGAGGGAACCUCAGGGAGCUCUGGGCUCUGAGAAUGGAGAAAGGCAGUGCAGGACUGGGCAGGAAGAUACGGCAGGAGUAGGGUCAGGAUAAGGUGAUGUCACAGAUGAGCCUGAGGGUAGUACAGGUGUGUUUGCCCCUCAGCCACAAGAUCCUGGAACCCACAGCAGACAUCAAAGUUCAGGAUGACAAUAAGAUCAGCCUCACAACAGAUCUGACGGGGACAAAUUCAAGAUUUUAGAGGAACACCUAAGGAAAAAGUCAUCAGGCCGUUCGAAGAACAAGACUGGAGUCCCAGAGGAACAAGGAAAAAGUCAUCAGGCCGUUCGAAGAACAAGACUGGAGUCCCAGAGGGAGGCUACUCUUGAAAUCAUUGACUUGAGAGUUGAGGACUAGUUGCCUCUAUACACCAAGCCUGAUGACCUGAGUUUGACCCCAGGAUCCCACAUGGUAGAAGGAGAGAGUAUAAGUUGUCCUCUGACCUCCACAUGAACGCUAUGACACGCCAACUCCUGACACAUGCCCAAUGAAUAAAUCUAAUUAAAAUGUGUUUAAAAAUGAGAUAUGAAGCUUUGGCGUGGGUGGCAUUGCUGAGAAGGACGUGGCUUGGGGUCUAAGAACAAAGGUUUUGAAAUAGCAAGAUUUGGUCAAGUGUCAAAGAUAGCACUUAUCAACUGUGUAGCCAGUCCCCGGGCCUUAUCUCUCCACCUACAACCCCGGAGGGCACUGACACAACACCAACAGGGCAUCAGUAUGAGGAUUUCUCAGGCAAUACAACUAAGAGCCAAACCAGGUGCCUGGCACACAGGGGGCACCCUGGAAUGUUUGGAGGAGACAGAAUGAGAACAAAGGAAGGCAGAGGGACAGUGUGCAAGAGACACCGCCACCGCCGCAGAGGGGACCAGAUGCCAUGCAAAGCUGCAAAAGAGAUGGCGUCCUGCAGAGAAAGAGCAGGAAUCUUUCUAGGUCCCCGUUCGAAAACACCAGCCCAAGCAUGCCAAGAUACAUCCCAGAACAUAUGCAUCCCAAGCCGGGGGCCCUUGGUUAAAAUGGAAAGUUGCAAGCAGAAACAAAGACGGCAUGCCACAGAGGUAUUGAGACAAGUCUGUCUGUGGAACAGUAGGCUGCAGAAAAGCAAGUCAUGGUAUCAAAGGUCUCCUGUGAUCUCAUAUGUUACUGGACAUGCCUCGCAUACGUGUUCUACAAGUAAAUGUAGUGUCUGCACACACACACACACACACACACACAUUUGGAAGCAGAGAACUGAACAUUCUGAAUUGCCUAUGCUAGUGUAAACAACCCCUUACCCAUGCUCAUGUAGGCAAAUCUAGUUAAACUUGAUGGGUCACCAAAACAAACAGACACCAAGCACGAAGGUAGGGGAGGGGGGCUGGGAAGGUGACUCAGUUAAUAAGGGACUUGAUAUGUAAGGUCCAGCAUUCAGAAUGCUAGCACCACAGUGAAAGCCAGGCAUGACAUCCCGUGUCCAUCACACCAGUGCUUUGGCACAGAGACAGGCAGAUCCCAUGGGGUCUGUGGAAAGACGGUCUAGUCCAAACAGGGAACUCCAGAUUCAGUAAGAGACACUGGAAAAGUGAGAGGGAAAGCAACUGAGGAAGACAUCAU
ensembl:lincRNA